rnacentral:rRNA from 1 species
UACGGAGGGUGCGAGCGUUGUCCGGAAUCAUUGGGCGUAAAGCGCGUGUAGGCGGCCCGGUAAGUCCGCUGUGAAAGUCGGGGGCUCAACCCUCGGAUGCCGGUGGAUACUGUCGGGCUAGAGUGCGGGAGAGGCGAGUGGAAUUCCUGGUGUAGCGGUGAAAUGCGCAGAUAUCAGGAGGAACACCAAUUGCGAAGGCAGCUCGCUGGAACGUAACUGACGCUGAGACGCGAAAGCGUGGGGAGCAAACAGG